rnacentral:ncRNA from 2 species
CAGCGUUCUCAGGGCGGGGCGAAAUUCCCCACCGGCGGUAUCUGCGGGCAGAUGUCUUUGCAUCUGCACUGCAGCAGCCCGCGAGCGCCCGGGCCGUGCCAGCAGUGGUGGCGGCCCGGGGUCAGCAGAUCUGGUGAGAUGCCAGAGCCGACGGUCACAGUCCGGAUGAAAGAGAUCGCGA